rnacentral:rRNA from 1 species
GAUGAACGCUGGCGGCAUGCCUAAUACAUGCAAGUCGAACGAAAGGAAGGAAAGCUUGCUUUCCUGAAUCUAGUGGCGAACGGGUGAGUAACACGUAGGUAACCUGCCCAUGUGCCCGGGAUAACUUCUGGAAACGGAUGCUAAAACCGGAUAGGUAGCAGACAAGCAUUUGACUGCUAUUAAAGUGGCCUUGGCCAUGAACAUGGAUGGACCUGCGGUGCAUUAGCUAGUUGGUGAGGUAACGGCCCACCAAGGCGACGAUGCAUAGCCGGCCUGAGAGGGCGGACGGCCACAUUGGGACUGAGACACGGCCCAAACUCCUACGGGAGGCAGCAGUAGGGAAUUUUCGUCAAUGGGGGGAACCCUGAACGAGCAAUGCCGCGUGAGUGAGGAAGGUCUUCGGAUCGUAAAGCUCUGUUGUAAGAGAAAAACGGCGCUCAUAGGGAAUGAUGAGUGAGUGAUGGUAUCUUACCAGAAAGUCACGGCUAACUACGUGCCAGCCGCCGCGGUAAUAC